rnacentral:rRNA from 1 species
GAAUUUCAAUCACGAAAGGCAGACUCCGAAGAAGCUGUACUAUAUGACAACAACGAGUGGAAGUAUGAGGUGAAAGAGCCCGGAGGAACCACAAACGAUGGCCGCCAACACGGAGGCCGGGCUUUCAAGGUCUCCCUAACACGGUGUGAUUGCAGCUGCAUGAGGCUGUCUUUGCUUCAUCUCCCAUGCUCGCACUUGUUAAAUGCAUCCCGGGUUAGGAAUGUGGACGUCAAUCACCCUCUUACCAUGAGGGAGUCCGAGUUCUCAAUCAUGACGGUAAAGAAUACAUGGACUCCACGGUUCCAGCCAUACUUGGACCAAUCACAAUGGCCGGAGUAUCAUGGAGUUCAACUAUGGCCGGACCCG